rnacentral:rRNA from 1 species
CGUGAGGAACCUGCCUUUCAGAGGGGGACAACAGUUGGAAACGACUGCUAAUACCGCAUGACGCAUUCGGAUGGCAUCAUCUGAAUGCCAAAGAUUUAUCGCUGAAAGAUGGCCUCGCGUCUGAUUAGAUAGUUGGCGGGGUAACGGCCCACCAAGUCGACGAUCAGUAGCCGGACUGAGAGGUUGACCGGCCACAUUGGGACUGAGAUACGGCCCAG